rnacentral:rRNA from 1 species
ACGUAGGGGGCAAGCGUUAUCCGGAAUUAUUGGGCGUAAAGAGUGCGUAGGUGGUUUUUUAAGCGAGAUGUGAAAGGCCAGGGCUUAACUAUGGAAGGCCUUGGGAACUGGAAGUCUUGAGUGCAGGAGAGGAAAGUGGAAUUCCUAGUGUAGCGGUGAAAUGCGUAGAUAUUAGGAGGAACACCAGUGGCGAAGGCGACUUUCUGGACUGUAACUGACACUGAGACGCGAAAGCGUGGGUAGCAAACAG